UAGUCUAGUGGUUAAGGCUAUGGAUCGCCAAUCCGAAGACGGCGGGUUCGAUUCCCGU
rfam:Aedes albopictus isolate Foshan contig40840, whole genome shotgun sequence.